rnacentral:rRNA from 1 species
GGCGGACGGGUGAGUAACACGUGGGCAACCUGCCUGUAAGACUGGGAUAACUUCGGGAAACCGAAGCUAAUACCGGAUAGGAUCUUCUCCUUCAUGGGAGAUGAUUGAAAGAUGGUUUCGGCUAUCACUUACAGAUGGGCCCGCGGUGCAUUAGCUAGUUGGUGAGGUAACGGCUCACCAAGGCAACGAUGCAUAGCCGACCUGAGAGGGUGAUCGGCCACACUGGGACUGAGACACGGCCCAGACUCCUACGGGAGGCAGCAGUAGGGAAUCUUCCGCAAUGGACGAAAGUCUGACGGAGCAACGCCGCGUGAGUGAUGAAGGCUUUCGGGUCGUAAAACUCUGUUGUUAGGGAAGAACAAGUACGAGAGUAACUGCUCGUACCUUGACGGUACCUAACCAGAAAGCCACGGCUAACUACGUGCCAGCAGCCGCGGUAAUACGUAGGUGGCAAGCGUUAUCCGGAAUUAUUGGGCGUAAAGCGCGCGCAGGCGGUUUCUAUAAGUCUGAUGUGAAAGCCCACGGCUCAACCGUGGAGGGUCAUUGGAAA